rnacentral:rRNA from 2 species
UACGUAGGGGGCAAGCGUUGUCCGGAAUCACUGGGCGUAAAGCGUGCGUAGGCGGUUUGUUAAGUCUGAAGUGAAAGGCCAUGGCUCAACCAUGGGAAUGCUUUGGAAACUGGCAGACUUGAGUACUGGAGAGGCAAGGGGAAUUCCACGUGUAGCGGUGAAAUGCGUAGAGAUGUGGAGGAAUACCAGUGGCGAAGGCGCCUUGCUGGACAGUGACUGACGCUGAGGCACGAAAGCGUGGGGAGCAAACAGG